rnacentral:rRNA from 1 species
AUACGGAGGGUGCAAGCGUUAAUCGGAAUUACUGGGCGUAAAGCGCGCGUAGGCGGCUUGAUAAGUCGGAUGUGAAAGCCCCGGGCCCAACCUGGGAAUUGCAUUCGAUACUGCAUGGCUAGAGUAUGGUAGAGGGUAGUGGAAUUCCUGGUGUAGCGGUGAAAUGCGUAGAUAUCAGGAGGAACAUCAGUGGCGAAGGCGGCUACCUGGACCAAUACUGACGCUGAGGUGCGAAAGCGUGGGGAGCAAACAGGAUUAGAAACCCGAGUAGUCC